rnacentral:lncRNA from 1 species
AGUGAAACCUUCAGUCUUGUCCUCAUGACUUCUCAUAGCCUCACCCCCUCCUCCUUCCCCCUUUCUCUUAUGUAUAAUCCCAGCAGCUGGCAAAGUGUGGUGGCUCCCUCCAAAGACUAACGGGCAGCACCUUCUCUGGAGCUGGAACCCGGCAGCCUGCCUCACGGCUGCCCCACUGAGUGGGCGAUGAGCUGAGGGAACAUGGGAGCAGGACAUGAUGUGAAGGGACAAGAAGGGGAGACCACUGGAGUGGGGGGGGAGCGGAGUGUGCUUCUAAGCAUCCAGAUGCCGAGGGCACCCCAAUCUGUGCUUGGGCCUGGGGGAGGAGGACACUGUGUCCCUGUGGGUCACACAGAAGCUCAAAUAAAGGCCAAAAGCUAGGAAGUGAUGUGGGGCUCAGGGGCUUGGAACCAACUCUGCUGCCUGAGACUUCACUUUUGUCAGCCUAUGGAAGGAAGACAGGAGGAAGGAGAGAGAACAGGGGGGAGGAGGGAGAAUAAGAGGGAGGAAGGAAAACAGGAGGGAGGAGGGAGUAAUGCCACCCCACCUCAGAACCUCCAUCUCUGCCAAGCCAUCUCUUUCCCACAUCCCAGGCUCUCUUGAAACAUCAUCCCCAGGGACCCCCCCUGUCAAGAGAAGGACCUUGGGGUCUGUGGUUAUGAGGUUCAAGUAGAUCUGUCUACCCCCAUGGGGAGGGUCAGACUUUGCCAAGGCUGGGGAUUUGAAGACUGUUGCUGUCCCAGGAGAGCGGGCUGUUGUUGAGUGGGUGGCCUUGCGUGGGCGGCAGGACAGGACAGGACUCCCAGAGAGGGAGAGAGCUAUGUGAGGGCUCCGAGGGCCGGGCUGCAGGGAGCAGGAGGUGGGCAGAAGACCAGGGCUGGGGAGGCACGGGUGCAGACUAAUCUGCUCAGGCCUGCAUGUUGGAUCCCUCUGCAUCUCUGCUGGGGAGAGGGAGCCAGGAGGCUCCAGCAUUGAGCGGGUAGCCCCAGAGAGCUGGAGAGAGCUCUGAGCUUUCUCAGGGGAGCGGUUAGUGGGAAGGCAACCCCGGGCCCAUCUGUGCGGCACAGAGGUCCUGCCGUGUUAGUCUGCUGAUGGAAAUUAAUUGUAAAUAUUAUUCAAACGUACCUCCCUGUGCACAAUUAUACUUCUCAGGGGAGUUCUCUGAGUACAUCAGGAAACUCUGUAAAUAAUACAUACAUUAGCCCGUGCUAAUGCUGCUGUGGUGGCCGUGCUAAUGCUGCUGUGGUGGCCGUGGCUGUAAGAUUUAUUCCAAGUGUUUGUAGGGGGUUAGCCUUGGACACCCAGAAGUGUCUCCUCCAGAGGAUGGGGGCAACCCUAGGCAUGCCACCUAGAUGCCUGGUCACUGGGCAGGUGGGGACACAGAGCUGGCAGGAGAGGAAGACACGCAGGUCUAGAGAGUUCCUAGCUGGGUUGAGAGGCAGCACUUCUGUCUCAUGAUCUCGUUGAGUCCUUACAGAAGCCUCUGUGGUAAGACCCAGCACCAUGUCUGUAGAUGGACAAAGAGGUAGAGAGAUCCAGAAAGGUGAGGGUAGUGAGAGCUGAGAGCCAAACCCUGUCAUCUGUCUGUCUGUCUGUCUGUCUGUUAGAAAGUUCUUGCUUUCCCAAGAAGUUAAUCAAUCUCUGUGCUCCACCCCCAUUUCCCACUGCCAACUCCUGUAAACUUUCAAGUCACGUGAUCAUGAGUCCAGGGACUGUGCUGUCCGUGAAGGGGAGGACAUGGCAUUUACAGGGCUUGCCCAUCUGUUCCUCUCAGCCUUUGGGUUUGGGGGUUUGGAACAGACACUACUUCAAGCUCACCCCUUCUCAGUAUCCACUGACCCAUUUCACAGAUCACAAAACUGAGCAGGAUAGUAGUGCUUUGGGGACAUCCCCACCCACCUCACAGAAUAUCCUGCAACAAGAGGGAUGUCCACACCCUCCUGAGAGUCAGUUUAAAAUAUCAGCUUAGAUACCUGGGGCUCACCAAGCUGCCCUCUUCACCCCUGAGCCUCGAGUACCAGCUUUGGUGACCAUGUGCCCCACCAGGGUCGAGCAGAAUCCUGGCUGAAGAAGAGGCAGGUCUUAGCAAAACCCAUUUUAGGGCAGAGGCAAGAUACUCCUACGUCUUCGCUAUUGGCCUGGAUGUGGGUCUAGGGGGUGUCUCUGGACCUGCAAAGUCAUGACAGGGGCUGUGGCAAACUCUCAAUCUGUCUGUCUGAGAGGAAGAUGCCUUUUGAAAAAAAAUUAAAAGAUCUUUUAGAAGCAAAUCGAUCCGUGGUGUCUCCAGGAGUGACCUUUCCUCUGUGUCCCUGAAGAGAGCAGAUGUGGGGCUUUGCAGACAGCAGGGAAACCCCUCCCCAUCUCUGCAUCUGGUGCUGCUUUACCUAGGUUCUAUGCACCCCCCCCCCAAAGUCACCCUCUCACUGGGCAUGGCUGCUCACCUGGGAUCCUGGGAUCAAAAUAUUGAAGCAGUGAGAGUUGGGAAUUGGAAGGUAGCCAGGGCUACAGAAUGACAUCUCACUUCAAACACUCCAGCCCAAACCAAGCAAGCAAGUCACCCCUCAGCCUAGAGGCGCCACCAUUUCCUCUGAGGCUGCCAUUCCAUUCAGGUCACAGGUGAGAUCUCAAUUUUUCUGUACGCAUGGCCACCUUUACUUAGCCAUGCCUUUAGUAGUCUCCUGUCUGUCCCCUGUUGGGAGGAGAACUCCAUCAGGGCAGGGAUGUGUGUGUCUAACUUGCCCCGCACCCCCAGAAUCCCUAGAGGAGCUCAGCUUGGAAACGCUGCUGCCCACAUUUUGCCAUCACUGAAUAAGCCUCGGUCACCUAUGGUUGAAAUCUCAAAACACCCCAGUUCCAAAGACUUCCCCUUUGCGUGACACGUGGAGAGGGCGAGGGUCCUCCUGCUUCUACAGGUGUGGAAACCAAGGCCCAGAUCAUGUAGGUAAUGGAGGAGCUAUGGUUUUUCCUGAAGCUGUUAGAAGCCCCAAAGGAGAGUAGAGGAGGUUUUCAUUAAUGGCUUCUGCCUCCCUGGGCCUUCUUUCCUGGCUAGCUGAUUUACUGCACCUAGGGAAUAGAAGAGCCAGAUGCCCCGCCCCAGCCUCUCCCCAGCCCCGCCCCAGCCCUAUUGUUUCUCAUCUCUUCCAGACCAGGAUUCUGUUAAAGGCUUGGCAGGCACGGCCUCGACCACAGACUUCCUGUGCUCAUCCUUCUGCUCCAAAGUGGGCAUCGGGUCUGUGCUGGCCGCGGAUGGUCCUCACACAGGCGGGAGGAUCCCUGACGCCCUGAAGCUCUGCAGCCCAGAUGUGCUGGGAGAGACAGACCCAAGGCUUCUCUGUGUCCUGGUUUCCACCGCACAGAUGCUUGGCUUCUUACAGCAAGCAUCUGAAUAACGGAGCAGAGCGAGUUUCUGGUUUGAUUCCAAAUGUUGGGCUGUGGAGCAGGGAGGCAGGAAACAGGGACUGGAGGCCUAAGUGCUUGGCCCAUAGUAUCCGAUGGCUCUUGGUCAGUAGCAGAUGUUUACAGCACAAGGCUCUGGUCAGGUACCAAUGCCUUCCUGGGGGGAUUUACUAGGGAUGGGUUUCCAGGUAUGGUGAGACGUGGUCAGAAACAGCAACACAUCAGCAUACAACCUAAGUCACCCCACUUAGAUGCCUUCUCUUUAUGGAUAAGGAAGAAGACACCGGCAGCCAUACAGACACUGUCCGUUGGUUUGGGUUGAGUGCUUGUUAGGCUCUGGGGACUCAGCAGAAGGCAGCAAUCCUGUUUUGAUGAGUCAGUCAUACCAAACCGUGUGCUGGCUGCAGCGGUGUGGGAAUCCUACCCAUACUGUGUGCUGGCUGCAACGGUGUGGGAAUCCUAGCUUUGGGGAACCAAGCUAUGGCUUUCCUCUCUCAGUACACAUUCUGUUUCCUGUUAAGUGAGCCAGGUCCCAAGGCUGAGUGGGGAGAAAGGCUUGUUGGUGGAGAGAUAAGACUCCAUUCUGGGAUGGGAGUGGAGUACAGACUGAAUCUGGAAUGCAAUGCCUGCCCGCCAGCAACUCCCUUCCAGCCCCAAAUUCUCAGACUAGGGAGAGGUCUGACCCAAUGGCUCCUCUCUCCUCAACCCUUGUGAAUGACCACUAGAGGGGAGGCAGGAACUGAAGUAGUGAUGGAGAACAAGGGGAGUGAGCUCUCUGGUCCCUUCCCACUCUCACCACAGGGACCACCAGCUUCCCAGCCAGCUGGAAUUCAAACCACUAUUUUCUGUGAGCUAGAGGGAUGGCUCAGUGCCUAAGAGUACUCCUCACUCUUGCCAAGGACCCAGGGCCAAUUCCAGACAUGCACAUGGUGGGUCACAACUGUCCUUAACUCUAGUUUUGAUGAAUCCUGUGGAGGGUUGGGCGAAUGCAAGGCUUUCCCCAAGGCCCUGGUGUACCGAGAAAGAACCAGGAAUAUACUUGGCAGAGUUGGUUAUGGCCUAGGGCCAGAGACUGGAGGGAGUUGUGGCUCCUGAUCCUGAGAGAUCAGCUUGUCCACUAUGUGGGUCUAUAAUGUUCUUGAGAUACCUGGUCCCCGUUGUGCGAUGCUGCUGGAUUAGCUUCCUGCUGACUUCAUCCUAGCGUUUGAUAGUUUCUGAUGACUCUGUCCCAUUUCUCCCCUGGAAAUACUGUAUAAGGCGCUGUACUUGUUAAUAAACUUGCUUGCAGGAGCCAUCAGCU